rnacentral:rRNA from 1 species
GAUGAACGCUGGCGGCGUGCCUAAUACAUGCAAGUCGAACGAACAGAUAAGGAGCUUGCUCCUUUGACGUUAGCGGCGGACGGGUGAGUAACACGUGGAUAACCUACCUAUAAGACUGGGAUAACUUCGGGAAACCGGAGCUAAUACCGGAUAACAUCUUGAACCGCAUGGUUCAAUAGUGAAAGGCGGCUUUGCUGUCACUUAUAGAUGGAUCCGCGCCGUAUUAGCUAGUUGGUAAGGUAACGGCUUACCAAGGCAACGAUACGUAGCCGACCUGAGAGGGUGAUCGGCCACACUGGAACUGAGACACGGUCCAGACUCCUACGGGAGGCAGCAGUAGGGAAUCUUCCGCAAUGGGCGAAAGCCUGACGGAGCAACGCCGCGUGAGUGAUGAAGGUCUUCGGAUCGUAAAACUCUGUUAUCAGGGAAGAACAAAUGUGUAAGUAACUGUGCACAUCUUGACGGUACCUGAUCAGAAAGCCACGGCUAACUACGUG